AGAACGAACGCUGGCGGCAUGCCUAAUACAUGCAAGUCGAACGAACACUUCGGUGUUAGUGGCGCACGGGUGCGUAACGCGUGGGAAUCUGCCCUUGGGUUCGGAAUAACAGUUGGAAACGACUGCUAAUACCGGAUGAUAUCGAAAGAUCAAAGAUUUAUCGCCCAGGGAUGAGCCCGCGUAGGAUUAGCUAGUUGGUGAGGUAAAGGCUCACCAAGGCGACGAUCCUUAGCUGGUCUGAGAGGAUGAUCAGCCACACUGGGACUGAGACACGGCCCAGACUCCGUACGGGAGCAGCAGUAGGGAAUA
rnacentral:rRNA from 1 species